rnacentral:rRNA from 1 species
CCUACGGGAGACAGCAGUGAGGAAUAUUGGUCAAUGGGCGCGAGCCUGAACCAGCCAAGUCGCGUGAGGGAAGACGGUCCUAUGGAUUGUAAACCUCUUUUGUCGGGGAGUAAAAUACGCCAUGCGUGCUGCUCCGCGUGUACCCGAUGAAUAAGCAUCGGCUAACUCCGUGCCAGCAGCCGCGGUAAUACGGAGGAUGCGAGCGUUAUCCGGAUUUAUUGGGUUUAAAGGGUGCGCAGGCGGGCCUUUAAGCCGGCGGUGAAAUCGGGGGGCUCAACCCCACCGAGCCGUCGGAACUGGGGGCGUUGAGUGCGGCAGAGGCAGGCGGAAUUCGCGGUGUAGCGGUGAAAUGCAUAGAUAUCGCGCAGAACCCCGAUUGCGAAGGCAGCGUGCCGUACCGCAACUGACGCUGAGGCACGAAAGCGCGGGGAUCGAACAGGAUUAGAUACCCGUGUAGUC